GAAGCUGACCAGACAGUCGCCGCUUCGUCGUCGUCCUCCCCGGGGAGACGGGCGGAGGGAGGAAAGUCCCGGGCUCCAUAGGGCAGGGUGCCGUAACGCCCGGGGAAACCACGACCAGUGCAACAGAGAGCAAACCGCCGAUGGCCCGCGCAAGCUGGGAUCAGGUGGGAUGAAGCAGGUGUGGGUAGAGCGCACCGCGCGACUGGUAACAGCGUCGCGGCACGGUAAGCUCCACCCGGAGCAAGGCCAAAUAGGGUUCACAAGGUAACGUACUGAACCCGGUGGUAGGCCUGCUUGAGCCAGUGAGCGAUUGCUGGCCUAGAUGAAUGACUGUCCACGACAGAACCCGGCUUAUCGGUCAGCUUCAACC
rnacentral:RNase_P_RNA from 1 species